GCCUUUGUGGUGUAGUGGUCAGCACACUCGACGCGUAUUCGAGAGGUGCGUGGUUCGAGUCCCCGCGAGGACA
rnacentral:tRNA from 1 species